rnacentral:rRNA from 1 species
GACGAACGCUGGCGGCGUGCUUAACACAUGCAAGUCGAACGGAAAGGCCCUGCUUUUGUGGGGUGCUCGAGUGGCGAACGGGUGAGUAACACGUGAGUAACCUGCCCUUGACUUUGGGAUAACUUCAGGAAACUGGGGCUAAUACCGGCUAGGAGCUCCUGCUGCAUGGUGGGGGUUGGAAAGUUUCGGCGGUUGGGGAUGGACUCGCGGCUUAUCAGCUUGUUGGUGGGGUAGUGGCUUACCAAGGCUUUGACGGGUAGCCGGCCUGAGAGGGUGACCGGCCACAUUGGGACUGAGAUACGGCCCAGACUCCUACGGGAGGCAGAAGUGGGGAAUAUUGCACAAUGGGCGGAAGCCUGAUGCAGCAACGCCGCGUGCGGGAUGACGGCCUUCGGGUUGUAAACCGCUUUCGCCUGUGACGAAGCGUGAGUGACGGUAAUGGGUAAAGAAGCACCGGCUAACUACGUG